rnacentral:rRNA from 1 species
AUGGAGAGGAUGGCGUCCUCCUAUUUCAAGGAGAUCUUCACCAAGGAUCCUACCUUGGUUGCAGAUGAGGUUCUGAAUUGCAUUGCACCGAAAGUAACUGUCGAGAUGAACGAGGCCCUUUGCAAGGCAUUUUCUGAGCAGGAAAUUUCAGAUGCCCUAUUCCAGAUUGGACCCUUGAAGGCCCCUGGGUGUGAUGGCUUUCCUGUACGUUUUUAUCAACGCAAUUGGGCGGUGCUCAAACCGGAGAUUAUUGCGGUAGUUCAAGAGUUUUUUAGCACAGGGAUUAUGCCGGAGGGUGUUAAUGACACUUCUAUUGUGUUAAUCCCCAAAGUUCCUCACCCCAAGGAGCUAAAGGAUUUCCGGCCAAUAAGUUUAUGUAAUGUGGUAUACAAGAUUGUGUCGAAGUGCAUGGUGAAUAGGUUGCGGCCUAUGCUUAAUGAACUUAUCUCAGAAAACCAAAGCGCCUUUAUCCCAGGGAGACUUAUAUCUGAUAAUUCUAUCAUUGCUUUCGAGUGUAUCCACCAUAUUCAAUCAGUGAAGGAGAACUCCCGGCUUUGUGUGCUUAUAAACUGGACCUCUCGAAGGCCUACGAUCAUGUGGACUGGGAUUUUCUUCAGAAGGCCUUGA